UGCCCAGCAACUCCUAUCCGUACCUCCUAGCGGUACCAGCUGGGGUACGGGUAACCUUGGGGAAGAUCGGGUAACCAACUCCGGCAGG
rnacentral:ribozyme from 1 species